rnacentral:lncRNA from 1 species
AGUGAAUCUCCCACCUCAGCCUCCCAAGUAGCUGGGACUACAGCAAGGUUUCCAAGAAUUACGUUGGUAGGCAUUCAACUGGCAUCCUCUGGAGGUAACCAGAUGCCCAGCUGCUCCUGGAGGGGACAUAUGGAAGUGGAGUCGGUUGCCUGUGGCACAUCUUUCAGUGUGCAUUUUGGGAUUUGUGAAUGUGCUUAACCAGAAAAUGCCAGAAUACAGUCAAUCCACCAACCUGUCAGUGGUGCUCUUCUUGUGGGAUCAUGUGCAAAGUUUGAACAGGCUCAUAGGCGGAAGGACUUGCCUUGUCUCA